CAUGGGCUCCAGAGGUCAGAUAUCUUAUUCUCUAGGCUGAAACCCUUGUUGCUUUAAGGAAACAGGAUUUUAAUAGGAAUCACAUGCAGAUUGACUACAGGGAGCCAAGCGGUAGUGGAAGAAGCAAAGUUGGCGGUUUUGGAGACGGACGUCUAUCUAUCCACAGGGGGACAAAAAUGAAGGUUAUUGAAAAGAAUCAUGCUUGGUUGCACUACGAUAUGCUCCCUUAAAGACAUUUAGCUGGAAACUUUGAACUUUUAUCCUCUGCAUCCAUACAAUACG
rnacentral:lncRNA from 1 species